UAAUACGGAGGAUGCGAGCGUUAUCCGGAUUUAUUGGGUUUAAAGGGUGCGCAGGCGGACUCUCAAGUCAGCGGUCAAAUCGCGGGGCUCAACCCCGUUCCGCCGUUGAAACUGGGAGCCUUGAGUGCGCGAGAAGUAGGCGGAAUGCGUGGUGUAGCGGUGAAAUGCAUAGAUAUCACGCAGAACUCCGAUUGCGAAGGCAGCCUACCGGCGCGCAACUGACGCUCAUGCACGAAAGCGUGGGUAUCGAACAGGAUUAGAUACCCUGGUAGUCCACGCAGUAAACGAUGAACACUAACUGUCCGGCCCGAUUGGGGGCUGGGUGGUACAGCGAAAGCGUUAAGUGUUCCACCUGGGGAGUACGCCGGCAACGGUG
rnacentral:rRNA from 1 species